GAUGAACGCUGGCGGCGUGCCUAACACAUGCAAGUCGAACGGAGUCCAGCCUUUAAGACCUUCGGGUCAAAGAGGGGAAGACUGAGUGGCGGACGGGUGAGUAACACGUGGGCAACCUGGCUCAUAGAGGGGGAUAACAGAGAGAAAUUUCUGCUAAUACCGCAUAAGCACACACUGCCGCAUGGCAGAGGGUGAAAAGAGAAUCGCUAUGAGAUGGACCCGCGUCUGAUUAGCCAGUUGGCAGGGUAAGAGCCUACCAAAGCGACGAUCAGUAGCCGAUCUGAGAGGAUGAACGGACACAUUGGGACUGAGACACGGCCCAAACUCCUACGGGAGGCAGCAGUGGGGGAUAUUGCACAAUGGGGGGAACCCUGAUGCAGCGACGCCGCGUGAGUGAAGAAGUAUUUCGGUACGUAAAGCUCUAUCAGCAGGGAAGAUAAUGACAGUACCUGAAUAAGAAGCCCCGGCUAACUACGUG
rnacentral:rRNA from 1 species